rnacentral:tRNA from 1 species
GGGAGGGUGGCCGAGCGGACGAAGGCGGCGGUCUUGAAAACCGCUAGGGGAGCGAGUCCCUCCAGGGUUCGAAUUCCACCCUCCCGCCA